rnacentral:rRNA from 1 species
AGAGUUUGAUCCUGGCUCAGGACGAACGCUGGCGGCGUGCUUAACACAUGCAAGUCGAGGGCACCAGCAAUGGUGACCGGCGAACGGGUGCGUAACACGUAAGCGACCUACCGAUCUGCGGGGGAUAGCCGGCCCAACGGCCGGGUAAUACCGCAUACGCUCAUUUUCUCGCAUGGGGAGAUGAGGAAACCUCCGGGGCGGAUCGAGGGGCUUGCGGCCUAUCAGCUAGUUGGCGGGGUAAUGGCCCACCAAGGCAUCGACGGGUAGCUGGUCUGAGAGGAUGGCCAGCCACAUUGGGGCUGAGAAACGGCCCAGACUCCUACGGGAGGCAGCAGUGGGGAAUCUUGCGCAAUGGCCGAAAGGCUGACGCAGCGACGCCGCGUGUAGGAUGAAGCCCUUCGGGGUGUAAACUACUGUUGCCCGGGACGAACGAUGGCUUUCGAGCCAUGUGACGGUACCGGGUGAGGAAGCACCGGCUAACUCCGUGCCAGCAGCCGCGGUAAUACGGAGGGUGCGAGCGUUGUCCGGAAUCACUGGGCGUAAAGGGCGCGUAGGUGGCUCGUGCAAGGGGGCGGUGAAAGCCCGGGGCUCAACCCCGGGUCUGCCGUGCCGACUGCGGAGCUUGAGCAGACUAGGGGCAAGUGGAAUUCCGGGUGUAGCAGUGGAAUGCGUAGAGAUCCGGAAGAACACCGGUGGCGAAGGCGGCUUGCUGGGGUCUGACUGACACUGAUGCGCGACAGCGUGGGGAGCAAACAGGAUUAGAUACCCUGGUAGUCCACGCCGUAAACGAUGGGCACUAGGUGCUCGGGGGAGCGACCCCUUGAGUGCCGUCGCUAACGCAUUAAGUGCCCCGCCUGGGGAGUACGGCCGCAAGGCUGAAACUCAAAGGAAUUGACGG